rnacentral:rRNA from 1 species
UACAGAGGGUGCAAGCGUUGUUCGGAAUUAUUGGGCGUAAAGAGCUCGUAGGCGGUUCGGUAAGUCGGAUGUGAAAACCCCAGGCUCAACCUGGGGACGCCAUUCGAUACUGCUGUGACUUGAGUUCGGUAGGGGAGCACGGAAUUCCUGGUGUAGCGGUGAAAUGCGCAGAUAUCAGGAGGAACACCGAUGGCGAAGGCAGCUCGCUGGGACGGUACUGACGCUGAGGCGCGAAAGCGUGGGGAGCAAACAGG